rnacentral:piRNA from 1 species
UACCAAAAUCUCCUCUGAGGUGGAAGCGGU